GAUGAACGCUAGCGGCAGGCCUAAUACAUGCAAGUCGAACGUUGUCUUCGGACAUAGUGGCGCACGGGUGCGUAACACGUAUGCAACCUACCUUACAUUGGGGGAUAGCCUUUCGAAAGGGAGAUUAAUACCGCAUAAGACAGUAGCUGGGCAUCCAGCAGCUGUUAAAGAUUUAUCGAUGUAAGCUGGGCAUGCGUCCAAUUAGCUAGUUGGUGAGGUAACGGCUCACCAAGGCAAUGAUUGGUAGGGGAACUGAGAGGUCAAUCCCCCACACUGGCACUGAGAUACGGGCCAGACUCCUACGGGAGGCAGCAGUAGGGAAUAUUGGGCAAUGGACGCAAGUCUGACCCAGCCAUGCCGCGUGCAGGAUGAAGGCGUUAUGCGUUGUAAACUGCUUUUAUACAGGAAGAAACGACUCUUGCGAGAGGCAUUGACGGUACUGUAUGAAUAAGCACCGGCUAACUACGUGCCAGCCGCCGCCGUAAUAC
rnacentral:rRNA from 1 species